CUGCGAGUGAAGUGGGAAAAGCUCAAAUUUAAAAUCUGACCGUCUUUGAUUGUCCGAAUUGUAUUCUAGAGAAGCAUUAUCUGCACUGGACCAUGUAUAAGUCUUCUGGAAUGGAGCAUCAUAGAGGGUGAGAAUCCUGUUUUCGACAUGGACUACCAGAGCUUUUGUGAUAUGCUCUCAAAGAGUCGAGUUGUUUGGGAAUGCAGCUCUAAAUGGGUGGUAAAUUCCAUCUAAAGCUAAAUAUUGGCGAGAGACCGAUAGUGAACAAGUACCGUGAGGGAAAGAUGAAAAGAACUUUGGAAAGAGAGUUAAAUAGUACGUGAAAUUGUUGAAAGGGAAACACUUGAAGUCAGUCACAUUAAUCAGAAAUCAACCUUGUUUUUUUUUUACUUGGUGUAUUUUCUGUUUGAUGGGUCAGCAUCAAUUUCAACUAGUAGAAAAAGACAGAAAGAAUGUGGCAUUUUCGGAUGUGUUAUAGCUUUCAGCCAUAUAUAUUAGUUGAGAUUGAGGAAUUCAGCAUGCCGCAAGGCUGGAUUUUUAAAUCACAUUCAUGCUUAGGAUGCUGACAAUAAUGGCUUUAAUUGACCCGUCUUGAAACACGGACCAAGGAGUCUAAUAUGCCUGCGAGUGUUUGAGUGACAAACUCAAGCGCAUAAUGAAAGUAAAAGUUGAGAUCUUUGUCAUAAAGAGCAUCAAUGCCUGGACCAGACCUUUUGUGACGGAUCCACGGUAAAGCAUGUAUAUUGGGACCCGAAAGAUGGUGAACUAUGCCUGAAUAGGGUGAAGCCAGAGGAAACUCUGGUGGAAGCUCGUAGCGAUUCUGACGUGUC
rnacentral:rRNA from 1 species